GUGGGGAAUUUUGGACAAUGGGCGCAAGCCUGAUCCAGCAAUGCCGCGUGCAGGAAGAAGGCCUUCGGGUUGUAAACUGCUUUUGUACGGAACGAAACGGUCCUGGUUAAUACCUGGGGCUAAUGACGGUACCGUAAGAAUAAGCACCGGCUAACUACGUGCCAGCAGCCGCGGUAAUACGUAGGGUGCGAGCGUUAAUCGGAAUUACUGGGCGUAAAGCGUGCGCAGGCGGUGCUGUAAGACAGGCGUGAAAUCCCCGGGCUCAACCUGGGAAUUGCGCUUGUGACUGCAGUGCUGGAGUACGGCAGAGGGGGAUGGAAUUCCGCGUGUAGCAGUGAAAUGCGUAGAUAUGCGGAGGAACACCGAUGGCGAAGGCAGUCCCCUGGGCCUGCACUGACGCUCAUGCACGAAAGCGUGGGGAGCAAACAGGAUUAGAAACCCCAGUAGCC
rnacentral:rRNA from 1 species